GAUGAACGCUAGCGGGAGGCCUAACACAUGCAAGCCGAGCGGUAUUGUUUCUUCGGAAAUGAGAGAGCGGCGUACGGGUGCGUAACACGUGUGCAACCUGCCUUUAUCUGGGGGAUAGCCUUUCGAAAGGAAGAUUAAUACUCCAUAAUAUAUUGAACGGCAUCGUUUAAUAUUGAAAGCUCCGGCGGAUAGAGAUGGGCACGCGCAAGAUUAGCUAGUUGGUGAGGUAACGGCUCACCAAGGCGAUGAUCUUUAGGGGGCCUGAGAGGGUGAGCCCCAACACGGGUACUGAGACACGGACCAGACUCCUACGGGAGGCAGCAGUGAGGAAUAUUGGUCAAUGGGUGCAAGCCUGAACCAGCCAUCCCGCGUGAAGGACGACUGCCCUAUGGGUUGUAAACUUCUUUUGUAUAGGGAUAAACCUACCCUCGUGAGGGUAGCUGAAGGUACUAUACGAAUAAGCACCGGCUACUCCGUGCCAGCCGCCGCAGUAA
rnacentral:rRNA from 1 species